AAUUGUCUAAAAAGUCAAUCACGUGAGAGAGAGAACUAAACUUUACCCUCUUCUUUAUUUGGAAGCAACACCACAUUCUUCUCGCCCGAUACUCGCCGGCUCCGAUUUGCUUCUUAUAAACACUGGCCGCUGUAGAAACAUUCUAAAAGCCAGCAACAAAGAUCUAUACGGUCAAUAUCUGCUUCUGGUUAUUUGGUUGUCGCAGCAGUGGGCAAUUUGAUUGUGAGACCUUUUGGGGAUGUGACACGUGACAAAGCAACAUAUAGUUGGCCAUGGCUGAACACUGGAUUUGGGAGAUAUAGUGCCACUUUGUUCAAGGUUUGCCCUUGGCUUUUAUUUACUGUCAUAGCAUAGGACAAUCUUAUCGGGAACUGACGUCUUCUUAGAGUGAAUGGAUGCUUAGAGUCUUGUGGUGAUAGUAUAAUCCUUGGGAUUAACACUUUUUUUUUUCUUCCGUAUCUGAAAGUAUCUCAGCUUCUAUUACUUUGUUUCCCAAAUGAGUGACAAUAAGCCUUGUUCCAUUGCAUAA